rnacentral:lncRNA from 1 species
AUAAAAUAUCUUAAUCACAAUCACCAAAUCACAAAAUACACCAAAAUAAGAUUUGUCAAAUCUAAUAUCACUUGGAAUAACAUGUUUCUUACAAUGUUUUUAAUUAUAACAUUGUAAUAAAACAACACAAUCCAUCCAUGGAAUUAAAGAGAGAAAAAGAAAGAAUUUUCUUUCAAUAAUAUGUUGUAGUCUCGAGGGAAUGGCGACGACUACCAAAAAAAACAGCACCGUGGUCGUCGGAAUCUUCACAAAGAGCUGCGGCAGCUCCCCCUUGAAGAUCCAGAAGCGUAAGUUCUCUUAGAAUCCACUUGAAAGCCAUGAAAACACCAAAUCGGAUUUGACAUUCUCUUGCCUCAAUCAACCGCCUCCCCCGUUAUAUCGACAUGGGAUUUCAAGCAAAGCUUCCCUUCCCUGAGAUGUAACAUCUGACUGUUUGGAUUGUCGAAUGAGGCCUGGAACCCCUCUGACCAAGCUAAGGUCAACAAUGUUCUGUCUUCUUCUCUUUUUUAUGUGGUGAAAUGGUGAUUGAGUAAGUAGUGUUGGUCAAGGUGGUGGCUAUGGUUUAGAGAGGGGCGGAGAGUGGGCGGUUUGGGGGCCUCGAUAGUCAAGAAAUAGUGGAGUCAAGUUAAUGCCAACUUUGCUGACUUUUGAGUCCAAUUUUUCUUACAUUUUCAUGCAAGGAUCAAUUUAACCAAAUAGCAAUGAAGAGAUAAAAAUUAGGCUCAUAAUCCAGCAAAGUUGACACUAUAAUCAUAUUUCUAUGUAUUUC